rnacentral:rRNA from 1 species
UAAAGAUUCAUCGCUGCUAGAUAGGCAUGCGUUCCAUUAGGCAGUUGGCGGGGUAACGGCCCACCAAACCGACGAUGGAUAGGGGUUCUGAGAGGAAGGUCCCCCACAUUGGUACUGAGACACGGACCAAACUCCUACGGGAGGCAGCAGUGAGGAAUAUUGGUCAAUGGGCGUAAGCCUGAACCAGCCAAGUCGCGUGAGGGAUGAAGGUUCUAUGGAUCGUAAACCUCUUUUAUAAGGGAAUAAAGUGCGGGACGUGUCCCGUUUUGUAUGUACCUUAUGAAUAAGGGUCGGCUAACUCCGUGCCAGCAGCCGCGGUAAUACGGAGGAUCCGAGCGUUAUCCGGAUUUAUUGGGUUUAAAGGGUGCGUAGGCGGCCUUUUAAGUCAGCGGUGAAAGUCUGUGGCUCAACCAUAGAAUUGCCGUUGAAACUGGGAGGCUUGAGUAUGUUUGAGGCAGGCGGAAUGCGUGGUGUAGCGGUGAAAUGCUUAGAUAUCACGCAGAACCCCGAUUGCGAAGGCAGCCUGCCAAGCCAUGACUGACGCUGAUGCACGAAAGCGUGGGGAUCAAACAGGAUUAGAUACCCUGGUAGUCCACGCAGUA